rnacentral:snRNA from 1 species
GGAUGUGAGGGCGAUCUGGCUGUGACAUCUGUCACCCCAUUGAUCGCCAGGGUUGAUUCGACUUAUCUGGCUGGCUAGGCGGGUGUCCCCUUCCUCCCUCACUGCUCCAUGUGCGUCCCUCCCAAAGCUGCGCGCUUGGUCAAAGAGGACGACCAUCCCCGAUAGAGGAGGACCGGUCUUCGGUCAAGAGUAUACGAGUAGCUGCGCUCCCCUGCUAGAAACUCCGAACAAGCUCUCAAGAAUAAGGGAUUUUACUUGGAAAGGCAUGAGGGGUAUGUAUAUGUGUGUGUGUGUUUGUGUGUGUGUCCACAUAAUAU